rfam:Rattus norvegicus chromosome 1, whole genome shotgun sequence.
GGGGAUUUAGCUCAGUGGUAGAGCGCUUGCCUAGCAAGUGCAAGGCCCUGGGUUCCAUCCCCAGCUCCG